UACGUCGGGUGCAGGCGUUAAUCGGAAUUACUGGGCGUAAAGCGUGCGCAGGCGGUUUUGUAAGCCAGAUGUGAAAGCCCCGGGCUCAACCUGGGAAUGGCAUUUGGGACUGCAAGGCUUGAGUGCGGCAGAGGAGACUGGAAUUCCUGGUGUAGCAGUGAAAUGCGUAGAUAUCAGGAGGAAUACCGAUGGCGAAGGCAGGUCUCUGGGCUGACACUGACGCUCAUGCACGAAAGCGUGGGGAGCAAACAGG
rnacentral:rRNA from 1 species